CAAUAGCGUAUAUUUAAGUUGUUGCAGUUAAAAAGCUCGUAGUUGGAUUUCGGGUUGGCUUCAGCGGUCUCGCUUUGCGUUUGUACUGCCGCAGCCUUCCUUCUUGCUGGGGACGGUCCUCCGGGCUUCAUUGCUUGGGGUCUGGAAUCAGCGACGUUACUUUGAGUAAAUUAGAGUGUUCAAAGCAAGCCUACGCUCUGAAUAUAAUAGCAUGGGAUAACACGACAGGACUCUGGCCUAUCGUGUUGGUCUGUAGGACCAGAGUAAUGAUUAAGAGGGACAGUCGGGGGCAUUCGUAUUCCAUUGUCAGAGGUGAAAUUCUUGGAUUUACGGAAGACGAACAUCUGCGAAAGCAUUUGCCAAGGAUGUUUUCAUUGA
rnacentral:rRNA from 1 species